rfam:Gossypium raimondii Chr07_contig_840, whole genome shotgun sequence.
GUUAAUUCGAUGCAAAGCGAAGAACCUUACCAGGGCUUGACAUGCCGCGAAUCCUCUUGAAAGAGAGGGGUGCCUUCGGGAACGCGGACACAGAUGGUGCAUGGCUGUCGUCAGCUCGUGCCGUAAGGUGUUGGGUUAAGUCCCGCAAUUGCAUGUAUUAUGACCCUAUUGGGAUUUUCAUUUACUAGAUCC